CCAAAAGGAAACUAUGACCACAACAAUUGGGCCAUAAUGCAAAUACAAAAACUUUUGGGGUCACUUUGAAAAAAACACAAAAGUCCACAACUUCAUGUAAUUUCAACUAGAACCCAAAAUUUUAUUAAUGUAAAAACAUCAUUAAAGGAUCAAAACAAUUUGUCCUUUAGAGUUUUUAAGCCUAAACGUAAAAACGUAAACUUUUGGGCCAAAAUGCAAAAAACACAAAAUUUUCACAACUUUAUGUAAUUGCACAAAAGGCCCCAAAAGUACCCCACUUGUUGGGGUGGCCGGGCAAGGAGGUGUGUGAACAAGUGUGAAAGGGUUUUAGUGCAUGCAUGUGCAAUAUGCAAGUUGAUUUUGGUGUGUGAGGUAAAGGUGAAGUUGAUGGUUUGUAAGAAAAUGUUUUGUGUCAAACAUUAAAGAUAUUUGUCUAACAUUAAAACCAAAAUAAAUGCUUCACCAAUAUCCAUCACCCAUCAAAAUUAAACUAAAACUUUAUGAAAAACAUAAAACUUUUGAAUCAAAACUUCAAACCUUUUUGUUCUUGGCAAGAACUUCAAGAACAUGUUGGAAAUGUGCCCUAAAACCAAUCAUAUGAUGAUACUUUACGAACAUUUCACAUGUUAAACUAAUCUAGUUUAAUAUAAAGGGCAAAGAUUAUUGUUUGAGCCGUCUCAUAUA
rnacentral:lncRNA from 1 species